UACGGAGGGUGCGAGCGUUAUUCGGAAUUACUGGGCGUAAAGCGCGUGUAGGCGGCAGGGCAAGUCUGGUGUGAAAGCCCGGGGCUCAACCCCGGAAGUGCAUUGGAAACUGCUCUGCUUGAGUACCGGAGAGGAAGGGGGAAUUCCCGGUGUAGCGGUGAAAUGCGUAGAUAUCGGGAGGAAUACCAGUGGCGAAGGCGCCCUUCUGGACGGUAACUGACGCUGAGGCGCGAAAGCGUGGGGAGCAAACAGG
rnacentral:rRNA from 1 species